AGAUUAGAAACAGACGGGCAAGUUCAAGGACCUAGUGAAGGGGCGGGUUAUCAAGGUGUGUUGAGGAGGGGGUGAAAGGAGGUUGUCGAAGGAUAGGAAGCAGCACAGGACUGGAAAGAGGGAAGCUGGGACCACCCGUAGGCCCAAACAGAAAUGAGGCUUUCAGAAGAGAAGGAGGCUCCCGCCCAUCGCCAGCGUCCAGGAGGAGACAGUGGGUAGGCACACCCCGCUCUCCUCCCACGCUCUGCUCUGUCCCAGUCUCCUGUUGGGCAAAUCCAACUGAAAGGCAGAGAGUCCGUGGGGUGGGGUAGGUCAGCGCCCAAAGCAUGGGGCAGGUGGAAAAGAGAGGAGAUUGGAUGAGGCGGGGCUAGCAGGAGAGGCCUCACAUAGGGGCAAGCCAGAAAGACAGCGCCACAUCUGAAAAGAUGCCCGUGUGUGUCCACAAAUUCUAAAGGUGACAUAUUUUAGUAUCCUCGCUGUCCUAAUCUCAGUGGAAGUGUACGAGUAUAAAAUGAAAUAAAAACAUUAUAUGCGUAGAUGUAUAGUGUGAAUAUAUAUCAGUGUAUGCUUAUACUUGUGCAUACCCAUGCAUAUGAUGUAAAAAUAUAUAUAGCGGCAAGCAGAUCUGUAGGUAUGAUCUUAAAUUUGGAAAUCAAUCAAUCAAUACAUUUAUGUGGAGAGUUUUGAAAAUCACGAUCUGGCAAUCCACGCACCACGGGGCUCGCGGUGAUGAUUCCUGGGUCAUGAGACGAUGGCGGCUUCCUGCCCUCCCUCCUCUCGUUACACUUUCGAUCUUCUGAAUAUUUUGCAAUGAGUAUGUACGGCUCUCACAAUGAGAGAAACAGCUAUUUAGCAAUAAAUAAAUAAAUAAAAUAAAUAAAUAAUGUUGCAAGGACAAGCAGCGUUUACGAGAAUGACAGCGUAACGUGCACUGGUGCCUAAUGGAACAACAUGAGGUGGGAAACGCAGUCCGGUGCCCGCUGUGAGUGUCUGUUUGGUGUGAUGAUGAGUGAGGAUGUGUGUGAGGGGAAGCAGCCCCACCUGGGAUGGAUCAGAGGAGUUGGACUUCGAUGGG
rnacentral:lncRNA from 1 species